GCUCAACACGUGCAAGACUCGAGCGGUAGAAGGGAGCUUGCUCCUGGUAUCAGCGGCGGACGGGUGAGUAAUGCCUAGGAAUCUGCUGGUAGUGGGGGACAACGUUUCGAAAGGAACGCUAAUACCGCAUACGUCCUACGGGAGAAAGCAGGGGACCUUCGGGCCUUGCGCUAUCAGAUGAGCCUAGGUCGGAUUAGCUAGUUGGUGAGGUAAUGGCUCACCAAGGCGACGAUCCGUAACUGGUCUGAGAGGAUGAUCAGUCACACUGGAACUGAGACACGGUCCAGACUCCUACGGGAGGCAGCAGUGGGGAAUAUUGGACAAUGGGCGAAAGCCUGAUCCAGCCAUGCCGCGUGUGUGAAGAAGGUCUUCGGAUUGUAAAGCACUUUAAGUUGGGAGGAAGGGUUGUAGAUUAAUACUCUGCAAUUUUGACGUUACCGACAGAAUAAGCACCGGCUAACUCUGUGCCAGCAGCCGCGGUAAUACAGAGGGUGCAAGCCUUAAUCGGAAUUACUGGGCGUAAAGCGCGCGUAGGUGGUUUGUAAGUUGGAUGUGAAAUCCCCGGGCUCAACCUGGGAACUGCAUCCAAAACUGGCAAGCUAGAGUAUGGUAGAGGGUGGUGGAAUUUCCUGUGUAGCGGUGAAAUGCGUAGAUAUAGGAAGGAACACCAGUGGCGAAGGCGACCACCUGGACUGAUACUGACACUGAGGUGCGAAAGCGUGGGGAGCAAACAGGUUAGAUACCCUGG
rnacentral:rRNA from 1 species